GUGACGAAGCGACGCCGCGUGUGGGAAGAAGGCCUUCGGGUUGUAAACCACUGUCAGGAGUUAAGAAGUGUAGGGGUGCUAAUAGUAUCCUUACUUGACUAAGGCUCCAGAGGAAGCCACGGCUAACUCUGUGCCAGCAGCCGCGGUAAUACAGAGGUGGCAAGCGUUGUUCGGAAUUAUUGGGCGUAAAGAGCACGUAGGCGGUCCUGCAAGUCGGCUGUGAAAGCCUUCCGCUCAACGGAAGAACAGCAGUUGAUACUACAGGACUAGAGUGCGGGAGGGGAGAGUGGAACUUCUGGUGGAGCGGUGAAAUGCGUAGAUAUCAGAAGGAACGCCGGCGGCGAAAGCGACUCUCUGGCCCGUAACUGACGCUGAGUGUGCGAAAGCUAGGGGAGCAAACGGGAUUAGAUACCCCGGUAGUCCUAGCCGUAAACGAU
rnacentral:rRNA from 1 species